UUGCUUCAGCAGCACAUAUACUGAAAUCGGAAUGACAGAGAAGAUUAGCACGGCCCCUGCACAGGGAUGACACACAAAACUCGUGAAGUGUUCCAUAUUUUU
rfam:Otolemur garnettii contig058375, whole genome shotgun sequence.